rnacentral:rRNA from 1 species
UACGUAGGGGGCAAGCGUUGUCCGGAUUUAUUGGGCGUAAAGAGCGUGUAGGCGGCCUGACAGGUCUGCUGUGAAAACUCGAGGCUCAACCUCGAGAUGUCGGCGGAAACCGUCUGGCUAGAGUCCGGAAGAGGAGAGUGGAAUUCCUGGUGUAGCGGUGAAAUGCGCAGAUAUCAGGAAGAACACCUAUGGUGAAGGCAGCUCUCUGGGACGGUACUGACGCUGAGACGCGAAAGCGUGGGGGAGCGAACAGG